CGCGUAGGCGGCUUGUCAAGUCAGGCGUGAAAGCCCCGGGCUUAACCUGGGAACUGCGUUUGAGACUGACGAGCUUGAGUUCGGGAGAGGAGAGUGGAAUUCCCAGUGUAGAGGUGAAAUUCGUAGAUAUUGGGAAGAACACCGGUGGCGAAGGCGGCUCUCUGGACCGAUACUGACGCUGAGGCGCGAAAGCGUGGGGAGCAAACAGGAUUAGAUACCCUGGUAGUCCACGCCGUAAACGAUGUGUGCUAGACGUUGGGGGGCAUAGCCUUCCGGUGUCGUCGCUAACGCUUUAAGCACACCGCCUGGGGAGUACGGCCGCAAGGUUAAA
rnacentral:rRNA from 1 species